rnacentral:rRNA from 1 species
AUAAGAGGUCCAGCCUGCCCAGUGAAAUUAUUCAACGGCCGCGGUAUCCUAACCGUGCGAAGGUAGCGUAAUCACUUGUUCUUUAAAUGAGGACUAGUAUGAAUGGCAUCACGAGGGUUUUACUGUCUCCUUUUUUAAAUCAGUGAAACUAAUCUCCCCGUGAAGAAGCGGGGAUUUUGUUAUAAGACGAGAAGACCCUAUGGAGCUUAAAACAAACAACAUUUGCUGCACAUAAUACUUUUAUCUUCAAGAAGUAUAGCAUUAUGAUAUUUAGUUUUUGAUUGGGGUGAUCACGGAGCAAAAUAAAACCUCCACGCCGAAAGGGUUUAUACCCUGAGCAAAAAGCUACAGCUUUAAGCACUAAAAAAUUAACGUAUUUGACCCAAUAUUUUGAUCAACGAACCAAGUUACCCUAGGGAUAACAGCGCAAUCCACUUCAAGAGCUCCUAUCGACAAGUGGGUUUACGACCUCGAUGUUGGAUCAGGGUGUCCUAGUGGUGCAGCCGCUACUAAUGGUUCGUUUGUUCAACGAUUAAAACCCUACGUGAU